UAAUUAAAUCAUCAAUCAAACGGAGGACGAGCAGAUCCACGGUUACAAGCCUGAAAAGUAAAAAAGAAACAAGCAGAGGAGGAUCUGCCUCCUGAAUGUUUUCUGGACGGAGAGGAGGAGAGUCUGCACCGCUCGUGGAUCCGAUCCUGGCUGAAUUAUUGUCAUGCGUAGUUUACUGCCAGUGUGCGAGCAUGUAAACUAAGCCAACACACACACAGGGUGAGCCUGCAGUGGCCUCGUCUAUGGGGCCACAUCUUCACCGUGAAAACGGAUUACAGCCGCUGUCUGACCUAUAGGGGGACCUUGUGUUUAAUGAAUAUAUGGCUUUAAAUAAGAAGAGGACUUUUGUUGCUGAUGUUUCUCACAUAUUUUCCUUUUUUUUCUGCAAAAAAAUACAUUUUUUGUCAU